CACGAAGUGAGUGGCGAACGGGUGAGUAACACGUGGGUAACCUGCCCAGAAGUAGGGGAUAACACCUGGAAACAGAUGCUAAUACCGUAUAACAGAGAAAACCGCAUGGUUUUCUUUUAAAAGAUGGCUCUGCUAUCACUUCUGGAUGGACCCGCGGCGUAUUAGCUAGUUGGUGAGGUAAAGGCUCACCAAGGCAGUGAUACGUAGCCGACCUGAGAGGGUAAUCGGCCACAUUGGGACUGAGACACGGCCCAGACUCCUACGGGAGGCAGCAGUAGGGAAUCUUCCACAAUGGACGCAAGUCUGAUGGAGCAACGCCGCGUGAGUGAAGAAGGGUUUCGGCUCGUAAAGCUCUGUUGUUAAAGAAGAACGUGGGUAAGAGUAACUGUUUACCCAGUGACGGUAUUUAACCAGAAAGCCACGGCUAACUACGUGCCAGCAGCCGCGGUAAUACGUAGGUGGCAAGCGUUAUCCGGAUUUAUUGGGCGUAAAGCGAGCGCAGGCGGUCUUUUAAGUCUAAUGUGAAAGCCUUCGGCUCAACCGAAGAAGUGCAUUGGAAACUGGGAGACUUGAGUGCAGAAGAGGACAGUGGAACUCCAUGUGUAGCGGUGAAAUGCGUAGAUAUAUGGAAGAACACCAGUGGCGAAGGCGGCUGUCUGGUCUGCAACUGACGCUGAGGCUCGAAAGCAUGGGUAGCGAACAGGAUUAGAUACCCUGGUAGUCCAUGCCGUAAACGAUGAUUACUAAGUGUUGGAGGGUUUCCGCCCUUCAGUGCUGCAGCUAACGCAUUAAGUAAUCCGCCUGGGGAGUACGACCGCAAGGUUGAAACUCAAAAGAAUUGACGGGGGCCCGCACAAGCGGUGGAGCAUGUGGUUUAAUUCGAAGCUACGCGAAGAACCUUACCAGGUCUUGACAUCUUCUGACAGUCUAAGAGAUUAGAGGUUCCCUUCGGGGACAGAAUGACAGGUGGUGCAUGGUUGUCGUCAGCUCGUGUCGUGAGAUGUUGGGUUAAGUCCCGCAACGAGCGCAACCCUUAUUACUAGUUGCCAGCAUUAAGUUGGGCACUCUAGUGAGACUGCCGGUGACAAACCGGAGGAAGGUGGGGACGACGUCAAAUCAUCAUGCCCCUUAUGACCUGGGCUACACACGUGCUACAAUGGAUGGUACAACGAGUCGCGAGACCGCGAGGUUAAGCUAAUCUCUUAAAACCAUUCUCAGUUCGGACUGUAGGCUGCAACUCGCCUACACGAAGUCGGAAUCGCUAGUAA
rnacentral:rRNA from 1 species